UACGUAGGGUGCGAGCGUUGUCCGGAAUUAUUGGGCGUAAAGGGCUCGUAGGCGGUUUGUCGCGUCGGGAGUGAAAUCCACUGGCUUAACUGGUGGCUUGCUUUCGAUACGGGCAGACUGGAGGUAUGCAGGGGAGAACGGAAUUCCUGGUGUAGCGGUGAAAUGCGCAGAUAUCAGGAGGAACACCGGUGCGAAGGCGCCAUCUGGACGACAACUGACGCUGAGAUGCGAAGCGUGGGAGCAACAG
rnacentral:rRNA from 1 species